UGCCCUUAAAAGUUGGCGUUAUUUCUCCUGUAUGAGACUUUUUUUUUUUUUAAUGCAGGUGUCAGUGUGCCACUUGAGAUAGUCUGUCCAUUGUCUGUCUGUGAAGGUGCUGCUGGGCUGCCUUAUUCUCAGCCAUGCUGCUGUUUAUUCUUUGCUUGAUUUCUACUUACGCCAGUGGGAUUUGCCCCACCUUCCCAAUGGCUGGCCUCUUUCCCUCUGCCAGCCUGCUUCUCCCAGAUGAAGCUCCAUCUGAUGGGUUAACUGCAAAACUCUCCCAGGAGAGGGAUUC